rnacentral:rRNA from 1 species
GCAUAUCAAUAAGCGGAGGAAAAGAAACCAACAGGGAUUGCCCCAGUAACGGCGAGUGAAGCGGCAAGAGCUCAAAUUUGAAAGCUGGCUCCUUCGGGGUCCGCAUUGUAAUUUGCAGAGGAUGCUUCGGGAGCGGUCCCCAUCUAAGUGCCCUGGAACGGGACGUCAUAGAGGGUGAGAAUCCCGUAUGGGAUGGGGUGUCCGCGCCCGUGUGAAGCUCCUUCGACGAGUCGAGUUGUUUGGGAAUGCAGCUCUAAAUGGGUGGUAAAUUUCAUCUAAAGCUAAAUAUUGGCCGGAGACCGAUAGCGCACAAGUAGAGUGAUCGAAAGAUGAAAAGCACUUUGAAAAGAGAGUUAAAAAGCACGUGAAAUUGUUGAAAGGGAAGCGCUUGCGACCAGACUCGCUCGCGGGGUUCAGCCGGCAUUCGUGCCGGUGUACUUCCCCGCGGGCGGGCCAGCGUCGGUUUGGGCGGUCGGUCAAAGGCCCUCGGAAGGUAACGCCCCCAGGGGCGUCUUAUAGCCGAGGGUGCAAUGCGACCUGCCUAGACCGAGGAACGCGCUUCGGCUCGGACGCUGGCAUAAUGGUCGUAAACGACCCGUCUUGAAACACGGACC